rnacentral:rRNA from 1 species
GACGGACCGUGCGAACGUUGUUCGGAUUCACUGGGCUUAAAGGGCGCGUAGGCGGACGGUCAAGUCAGGGGUGAAAUCUUUCAGCUCAACUGGAAAAGUGCCUUUGAUACUGAUCGUCUCGAGGGAGGUAGGGGCAUGUGGAACUUCCGGUGGAGCGGUGAAAUGCGUAGAUAUCGGAAGGAACGCCGGUGGCGAAAGCGACGUGCUGGACCUCUUCUGACGCUGAGGCGCGAAAGCUAGGGGAGCAAACGGG